UACGUAGGGGGCAAGCGUUGUCCGGAAUCAUUGGGCGUAAAGCGCGUGUAGGCGGCCAGAAAAGUCCGCUGUGAAAACUCGAGGCUCAACUUCGAGCUGUCGGUGGAAACUUUCUGGCUAGAGUCCGGAAGAGGAGAAUGGAAUUCCUGGUGUAGCGGUGAAAUGCGCAGAUAUCAGGAAGAACACCCGUGGCGAAGGCGGCUUCCUGGCCUGUUCUUGACGCUGAGGCGCGAAAGCUAGGGGAGCAAACGGG
rnacentral:rRNA from 1 species